UUGGCGGCGUGCUUAACACAUGCAAGUCGAACGGUUUGGUCGUCGGUCAUCAGACGUCGGACAUCGGGCUGAAGGUGGGAAUUUUUGGUCAAAGACCUAAAAGGAAUGCUUAAAAGCCCUGAUGACUGAUGCCUGAUGACUGACGACCAGAUAGUGGCGGACGGGUGAGUAACACGUGGAUAACCUACCCAAGAGACUGGGAUAACUCCGGGAAACUGGAGCUAAUACCGGAUACGUUCUUUUCAAUGCAUAUUGAGAAGAAGAAAGGGGAAACCCGCUUUUGGAUGGGUCCGCGUCCCAUUAGCUAGUUGGUGGGGUAACGGCCUACCAAGGCGACGAUGGGUAGCCGGCCUGAGAGGGUGGCCGGCCACACUGGGACUGAGACACGGCCCAGACUCCUACGGGAGGCAGCAGUGGGGAAUCUUCCGCAAUGGGCGAAAGCCUGACGGAGCAACGCCGCGUGAGUGACGAAGGCCUUUGGGUUGUAAAACUCUGUCUUCUGGGAGGAAAGGAAUGACGGUACCUGAGGAGGAAGCCCCGGCUAACUACC
rnacentral:rRNA from 1 species